AUCUGCAAAACAAUCUGCACUCCUCCAAUCUCGACGGGUGCUGACUUCCUCCAACAAAUCAGCGCCAGUCCUCCGCCCACUACACAAGGACAGGACGUAACACUUUUGAGAACUGAUUUACAUCUAAAUAAAUACAGGCCGAGACCAAACAAUGUGCUGCAUUAAGAAAAGAAAAAAAAUAGAGGAACCGGCGUCUUUCUCUGUUGGGCUAGUUUAAUUUACACAGCCUGAUCCGGCCAAGCUGGAGGUCAUGAUAAGUAAAGUACAAUGGCUAACCUUCCAGCAGGAGAAGACCCCAUCGCUGUGUAAAGCACAACAGUUAGACGGAAAAGCAAGAGGAAAAAGGAAAAUUGACGAGAUGAAUCAACAGUCCUCGGAAGAGGUCAGCUUGGACUCAAAGUGGACGUCCGUGACCGCACGCAGUCCGCCCCACAUACUGGUUUCAGAGAAAGAGUGAUAACAGACCGGAUAAACCAUGUGUAAAAAGUUUAUCAGUGGAGGUCAAGCAGGGAUUUGGACCAGCGACUGAGGAAUGCACUUAACCAAGGCGGCUGCUGCGCCUCUGUUAGUGGCCUCAAGGUGUGGGUCAAGAUGGCCGCCAUCCACCCCUCCAUUUGUCUGGACGUUCAGCCGCCACCGGUCUCUAGCAGGAGACACUCCUAAAUCCUCCCAGCCUAGGCUCGGAUUCUAAAAUAGCGUCACUCUGGAAAAAAGGGCGUGUGAUAAGGCGGCACAGAGAUGAUUCUCAUUAGUGUGGCUGUGGUGGAAGGUGGAAACAAGAACAUGUGACGGUGACAUAAACAUGGUUAUCUCUCGCUGGUAAUUUAACGUAAUCAUGAAAGAUUCAGAUUAAUGUGUGACUUUGAGAGACAGAUUUGUUCUCAUGGCUAAGAAUUGGACUCUGUCACUGUGAAUAUUCAUGUACAUACUGUCUAACUACUAUGGAAGCCCGUUUCCACCACUAAAAAAAAUUUAAAAAAUCACCAAGGAAAGUCAUAAUUAUGAGAAACAAAUUCAUAAUUAUGAGUUAGUAAAGUCAUAAUUAUGAGAUAGAAACAUUUUUGGUACAUCCAUCUGUACCCAUGGCACUGACCAGAAAUCUCCAUUUGUUGUUCAAUAAACCGUGCUACAAUUCAGCCA
rnacentral:lncRNA from 1 species